AAAAAAGCUCUGAAUAAAAUUGGAUAUAGUGUGCAUUCUGUGAAACAACUGAACUUUUACAUUGUUUUUAGACAAGAAUGUAGUUGUGUAAAUCAAAAAUAUCUGAUCAGUUUAUCAAGAUUUCGCUUAAUUACACAAAUGCGCCCAUGUGUUUGUCCGCUGCCACAGCAGCCGGCUCGCCUCGCCAGCUGUCAGCUGACCGGGUGUUUGAGGUGCGCUAAACCCCGAGAGAACAGCUAACUCCUGGCACAUUGUUUUCAAAAUCCCGCUGGGUUUCCCCAAUGGAUGGAUGUUAAACAGAUAUAAUGUUGGAAUAAUUGUAUAUAAAUUUAUCUUGCAUAAUCUCUUUAUUACCUUUGUUAUUUGACUUUUAUAACUUUUCAUGUUGUAUGUGUAAACAAACAUGUGAUAAGUUGUUUGCAGGCAAGGAGGAAAGGUGGAAUCGGGAUGAUGCAGUCACAGUUGAGGACAUCACAAAGACAACAGCUGAUAUUCCUGAACAAAGAUCACACAUACCUUAAGAUUAUGGAGACUAUGCAAGUGUGUUUGUACAAGAUAAUGGUGUACAUGAUCUAUGUCACGUUGCUAUUGUUUGUUCCCCAACCUUUAGAGCAGCAACGUUUAUGUAACUAGGGACCACCCUAAAGAUAAUAAAAAGAGGUGUUGGAGAGAUGUGUUUUCAGAGUGGUAGGAGCACUUCUCUGUCCGUUCUCCUCACAGCGAGUAAGAAACUAAUUAUCUUGUCUUUCUCUUCUUUUGUGAUGUUAUAGGUAUUUUAGGUUGAUUAAACCUGACAUUUGUGGUCCUUCGAGCCGGAGUCCAAUACGCCUGAGGAUUCCAGCGGGUUGGUGGAAUCCAGUAAAGACCGUGCGCACGGCAGGCUUCAUCAGGGAGACUCUCAGACCCUUUCCAUGACUGGACCUCGGCCCGCCCGGUGGGGGCUGACGUAACUCCGAGAGAGAGGGGAAAGACAGAGUGGUAUCAGUAACCUCGAUGUGCAUCGAUUCUCUAACUAUUCCUCGAGCGCUUGGAGCCUUUUGGAUUACCUGUCUGGAAUUCUACGUACACUCCUGGACUGAGCAAUCUUCACCUUUUACUGGAUCUGUGCUACAUUACGACAAGCGUACUUCUCCUGCAGAUCUGUCCACCCUCCUACGUAACUCCUGCUUCACCUUCCGCUCGCUUUCCACAGAAAGCACGUUUCGCUGUGAGCUCUACUUCAGUUCUCCUAAACCCCGUCUCCCCUGGCGGAUUCCGUUCACUCUCUAUUGGAGAGACCAGAUCCCUGUCAUCCCCGUGUAGAAUUUAGAAAUAAUAAACUUCUUUUCACCGUU